rnacentral:lncRNA from 1 species
AUGAACCUAUCGAUAACUAUGGAUGAGCUCAAGCACAUUAGACAAGCUAUUGGGUUCCUGGUAUUUCAUCUUAAUAUCUUUUUUUUUUUUUUUUAAGUUUUCCAAAUUUUAUAUCUAAUUGUUUUCCUUGUGAGCUUUUGCUUUACAGUUUUUAUUUAUUGGUUUUAGGUUAUUCCUAGGAAGCCAAAGACUAUAUGAAAUAAGUCAUGAUUUGUGCCCAGUGAGUCUCAGUUCUCAUAUUUUAAUAGAGAUCAAUAGACAUUGACUCAAUUAUGAAUAUUAAGCUGAUGGUAAACCCAUUUCACCUGUAGGUUCUUAGCAUACGGCAGCUCUACAGAAUCAGUACUAUGUAUUGGGAUGACAAAUGCGCCACAUGUAGUAGUAUUUCUUCAAAGGUAUUAAUCAUUUGAAUAGUUUUUUUUAGUAAAUAAUAGCACACCCCACUUCUUAAGCUCGUUUCUGGUAUCAAGAUAGUAGAGGUGGCAAAUGGGUCAAACAGGCUUGGUUGGCUAAUGGGUCCAAACAGGUCGGGUUGGUUUACCUGAAACAUUUUGUCCGCUUUCUUACAUUUUUUCAUGAAAAAGUCUGGUGCUAAAAUUAUUGUUAUUACAUUAAUCUUCGAAUUAUUGUUAACAAUACACUUUGGUCAACGUUGGAUCUGUUUGACCCAUUCGUCGUGUUAGAGCUAAAGCACAAGCUGAAACUGAUCAAAAUUACCACCUGUAAAAGAUAUAUGUAAAACGUGCAGUUUGUAUUCUGUUGACAGGUAAUUCUCGACAUGCAGAAUCUGAUGAGCAAAGAUACAAUCAAUGGUUUUACAGGCCCAUUCUUGUUGGAUGAUGAUUUAAGGUUGAAUAAAUUAUCAGAACACAUUUGAUAUAUGUUAGUGGCAAUAUUUCUGUAUUUAACGAAACAUUUGGUGUGCAGCGUACCAUUCUCUGCUGAUGACCUCUCAAAAUCAAUGGAUCAAAUCAAUAUAGCAGAUAUUGAGGACGCCGCGUGUUGAAUCAUGAUAAUUCGGGGUUUAGUGUCUUGCUGCUCUGGAUAUUGACCUUUGAUGGUAGGUUUGAUUCUACCCGCAUGUGAAGUGAUUUAGUCUGUUUUUUCCACAGAUUUUGAUUUCUGAAAUUAUAGUUUAUCUGCUAAAAAAGUCAACGUUUGACUUCUUUUGAUCCUUGAAGCUAAUUUUGGUGGUUCUAGUGGUUUGGUCAAUAUUUCCAGCAAAAUCGAUAAAGAGAAGCGUAUCCAUGAUGAGAGUUAUAGUGCAAAAUCAUGAACAAUGUCAACAGCCAAGAACAUCCACUACGCUUGCAUUCAUGACACUCUCCAACAAUGGCUAGAAAUACAAGAGAAAAACAUUAUACUUUAUUAACAAUGCGACUUGCUAAUGAGGUGGUGGUGGAGUGGUAAGGGAGAGACUUGGUGUUUUAAGGGACUCAUGUUCGAUUCCUGCCCUCCCCAUUAUUUUCUGCGGCACCUGGUGAUGAUGAUGUGAGACUAGGCGAAUAGGUGGAGAUCGCUAGUUUGAUCCUUGAACUAAGCGAGUUUUACCUCAUCGCACUGUCGUGCCUUUGGGCGAGUGUUCACGGGCUUCGGCUCUAGGUGAGGGUUUUUCCCAGGCCGGAUGUGAGUGUAUCCGAUGUGGUGAAUUUCGCCAAUAGCCCAUUUAGAGGAUUCCUUGGCCGUUC